rnacentral:rRNA from 1 species
GAUGAACGCUGGCGGCGUGCCUAACACAUGCCAGUCGAACGAUGACACAUGGAGCUUGCUCUGGUUGGGUUAGCGGCGGACGGGUGAGUAAUAAGUGAGUAACCUGCCUCUGAUUCUGGGAUAAGUACGGGAAACAGGGUCUAAUACUGGAUAAUACAUGCAACCGCAUGGUGCAGUGUGGAAAGGGAUUUUUUGGUUUUGGAUGAGCUGACGUCGGAUUAGCUAGUUGGACGGGUAAUGGACCACCAAGGCGACGAUUCGUAGCCGAUCUGAGAGGCUGAUAGCCCACAUGGGAACUGAGACAGGGUCCCGACUCCUACGGGACGCAGCAGUCGGGAAUGUUAGGCAAUGGGCGGAAGCCUGACGCAGCAAGCCCGAGUGAGUGACGAAGGCCUUCGGUGUGUAAAGACCUGUUUUUGGGAAAGAACAACUGUCAGCGCAAACAAGGCUGUAUUGACGGUACCUAAAGAAGAAGCACCGGCUAACUACGUG